rnacentral:rRNA from 1 species
AUGAGCUACCCGCCACCGGGCACCGCGUACCCGCCACCGGGCCAGGAGGCCUACCCGCCUCCAGGGUACGGCGCGCCGCCGCCUGUCGCCGCUAACUACCAGCAGCCGGCCCCGCCGCAGGAUUCGCAGGACCGCGGCGGCGACGGCUUCUGGAAAGGAUGUUGUGCUGCUAUUUGCUGCUGCUGUCUGCUCGACAUGUGCUUCUGA